rnacentral:tRNA from 5 species
CGGGGUGUGGCGCAGUCCGGUUAGCGUACACGUCUGGGGGGCGUGGGGUCGUGGGUUCAAAUCCCGCCACCCCGA